UACGUAGGGUGCAAGCGUUGUUCGGAAUUACUGGGCGUAAAGGGCUCGUAGGCGGCCAACUAAGUCGGAUGUGAAAUCCCCAGGCUCAACUUGGGAACUGCAUCCGAUACUGGAUGGCUUGAAUUCGGGAGAGGGAUGCAGAAUUCCAGGUGUAGCGGUGAAAUGCGUAGAUAUCUGGAGGAAUACCGGUGGCGAAGGCGGCAUCCUGGACCGACAUUGACGCUGAGGAGCGAAAGCUAGGGGAGCAAACGGG
rnacentral:rRNA from 1 species